GGUUGUGGCUCAGUGGUAGAGUGCUUGCCUUGCAUGUGUGAGGCACUGGGUUCAAUUCUCAGCACCA
rnacentral:tRNA from 1 species